UGGAUGUUUGAAAUAUUUAUGUACAUACAAUACUAAAUAUUUGAAUAUUUUACAAUUAAAAUAUUACAAUACUCUGCUAAGUAUUCUAUGUAUGUAAAUAUUUGAAACAGCUAAAUUGUGACAAGCUAACGAUUCUAGUAUUUCAUUUUUUCCGGUAAUUCAAUAUAUGUAUAUCGAAGUGACCUGAAUGUUUCUUUUUUCUUUUACUUUUUUUACUCAAAAAUUUUACUUGUUUUUCGUGUAUUUGUAAGAGUAGAUUCGAAAAUGAGCUGUCAUCCACCCAGGACUAUCAGUUCUUUCAUCUUCAAAAAUACUUAAUACCAACCUUCAUACUUUUUCAUCACAAUAUUAUUUACCGCUUUUAGCACUUCAUUUAAAAAAAGUAUUCAUACGAUACAAGCUGCCAGCUUCAUUACAUGUCUAGUAAAAAAUUCGUUCUAGCGGUACAGGUUUUGUUCAUCAGGAUCAACGUAACGAUCCAAUUAUAAAUUGUACAUCCAAACCAAUCCUGUAUUGCUUUUCAAAGGAAAUUAAUGAAUUUUCAUUACUUAAUUUUUUAUAAAUAAAUCGAUAAAAAUUAAAUCUGACCAUCAACUAAUUUUUAAAAUUUUUCUAUCGUAGUAAAGAAAAUCAGAUUGUAGACUAGAUGUCCAGAAUAUAUUGUAGAAGAUAAAAUAUAGUCCAGUCAAUAAGAGCUUAACUUUGCCAUUACAUUCUGAGUUGAUCACUUGCAGCCAAUGCCCAAAUUUCCCUGUUGACAAUAUAACGGUGCUCCUCUAACACCAUAAACAACUUGGGCCGCCGAUCAAAGCGGAUAAAACUAGUACUACGGGAGACUGAAAUCCAAGCCCGCAUCCGGAGCCGCAAAGUCGAAAAACGAUAUGCAGAGAGCCGGGUGCUUUCGGUCAAUUGAGGUUGGACUCGUAGUGGUAUGUUGUAAGGCCUUGGGCUAGAUGCGUGUAUCCUCGUGCCUUUCUAAAGGCACAAGAAUAUUACGUCCCAAGUAACGCUGUCACUAGAAGUAGAGUCGUCCCCAGAGUUAUGCUCUAAAAGGCGAGGUACUCAAAUAAAAUGUCCUUCUCAGGACAGGGAAACAAGGAUAACCAUUCACUCAUCAUUGGUGAAGUCAACAUCGGCCUUCUCACAAACUUCCUAUCAGAUUGAUGAGUGGAUCCUCAAGAGUGUUCGAGAGCUUGCUUAUUGGAAUAAUUAACUGUUUUAAAGAUUGCGACGAUAUAAAUCAUUGCCAAUUCAUCAAACUAUUGCCGAACUCGACUUUGCGAAAAACUCCAGAGCAUCAUCUGAAAUGGAUCAACACGAAUCCAAAAGAUUCCGUGGCUGUGACAAAUGUGGACGUCCUGAUGCAUUGUUCGACAUCAUCGGACGACGAAGCUGAGCGACGCCGUGAGAAGAUCCAGCGUAAAUCAAUCUACAUUAAUGAAUUUAUGAGCCACAUCACUAAACGACAUCACGUAAAAAAUGAUCCUCGUGCCUCAACCAAUGUUAGCACCGUUUCUGCUUCUCUCAGUAUUCCGCAAGACAAUAAUAUAAAUAAUUCAAUAGUUAAUCCAAUAGAUACUAGAUCCAGUUCGAUAAACAUGAGUACUUUAAAAACUGAGCUAUUAGAUUCGCUAUCCGAAAUUAUUGUCCCCCAAAUUAAAAAUAUUAUAAAAAAACAAUUCGAUUCUUUUAAAGAAGAUUUGAUAAAUUCUAUAAUUCAAAAAAGACAUAAUUCAUUCUGAAAACCUCCUCAAUUUCCAUUGAAAACAAUCCAAGAGUUUGAAUCAUUUGAGAACGAUCCCCAACUUCAGAUGUCAUUACAAAAUUUUCUCGAAAAAUUGGGAGGAACUAAUCUUCAAAUAGUGUUAAAUAAUUUUAUGGUUGAAGCAGUUUCUUCUCAGUUAUCAGUUCAGUUUAACUGGAAACAAGAUAAAAACAAAGACAGCCAGCAAACUUUAUUAUUUCAAUCAAAACUUGCGAAUGUAUUUUUUAAUGUAUUAUCUAAUUACCCGUUUCUAACAUAGUAAAGUAGUAGUUAUAAUAAGAUAAAACUAAUUAUAAGAAUGAUAAUUUAUCAUAAUUAAAUUAGUCACUAGAACUUUUAUUUAAUAAUAAAGAAUAUGUUUUGUGAUGAAAAAUUGUAAGUGUGUGUGUGUG